GACGAACGCUGGCGGCGUGCUUAACACAUGCAAGUCGAACGGAAAGGCCUGCUUUCCCUUGUGGAUUGCGGGUACUCGCGUGUCGAACGGGUGAGUAACACGUGAGUGAUCUGCCCCCAACUUGGGUAUAAGCCUGGGAAACUGGGUCUAAUUCCCGAUAGGACUGCAGGGUGGUGCCUGUGGUGGAAAACGAUUUUCUAGUGGUUGGGGAUGAGCUCGCGGCCUAUCAGCUUGUUGGUGGGGUAAUGGCCUACCUAGGCGGCGACGGGUAGCCGGCCCGGGAGAGUGGGCGGGAACAUUGGAACUGAGAUACGGGCAAGGAUCCUACGGGAGGAAGCAGUGGGGAAUAUUGCACAAUGGGCGGAAGCCUGAUGCAGGGACGCCGCGUGGGGGAUGACGGCCUUCGGGUUGUAAACUCCUUUCGGCCGCGAGGAAGCCACCUGGUUGGAAGGGUGGUGACGGUAGUGGUAGAAGAAGCACCGGCUAACUACGUG
rnacentral:rRNA from 1 species